rnacentral:rRNA from 1 species
GACGAACCGUCCAAACGUUAUUCGGAAUCACUGGGCUUACAGAGUUCGUAGGCGGUCUGGAAAGUUGGGUGUGAAAUCCCUGGGCUCAACCCAGGAACUGCGUCCGAUACUGGUUGGCUUGAAUCCGGGAGAGGGAUGUGGAAUUCCAGGUGUAGCGGUGAAAUGCGUAGAGAUCGGGAGGAAUACCAGCGGCGAAGGCGGCUUACUGGACAGUGACUGACGCUGAACUACGAAAGCGUGGGUAGCAAACAGG